AGAGUUUGAUUAUGGCUCAGGACGAACGCUGGCGGCGUGCCUAACACAUGCAAGUCGAGCGAGAAAGUCUCCUUCGGGAGAUGAGUAAAGCGGCGAACGGGUGAGUAACACGUGAGCGAUCUGCCCGACGGCGGGGGAUAACUCAGGGAAACUUGAGCUAAUACCGCAUACAGCACCGGCUUGGAAGCCGGAUGUGAAAGCUGGCCUCUCGAUGAAGCUAGCACCGUCGGAUGAGCUCGCGGCCUAUCAGCUUGUUGGGGGGGUAACGGCCUACCAAGGCAAUGACGGGUAGCUGGCGUGAGAGCGUGGCCAGCCACACUGGGACUGAGACACGGCCCAGACUCCUACGGGAGGCAGCAGUGGGGAAUAUUGCGCAAUGGACGAAAGUCUGACGCAGCGACGCCGCGUGGGGGAGGAAGGCCCCAGGGUUGUAAACCCCUGUCAGGUGGGACGAACCACGGAUCGGUCAAUACCCGGUCCGCCUGACGGUACCACCAGAGGAAGCUCCGGCUAACCCCGUGCCAGCAGCCGCGGUAAUACGGAGGGAGCGAGCGUUGUUCGGAAUCACUGGGCGUAAAGCGCGCGUAGGCGGUCGGGUAAGUCGGGUGUGAAAUUCCGGGGCUCAACCCCGUGGACUGCACCCGAUACUGCUCGACUCGAGAGAGGUAGGGGCGAGUGGAAUUCCCGGUGUAGCGGUGGAAUGCGUAGAUAUCGGGAAGAACACCGGUGGCGAACGCGGCUCGCUGGGCCUCAUCUGACGCUGAAGCGCGAAAGCGUGGGGAGCAAACAGGAUUAGAUACCCUGGUAGUCCACGCCGUAAACGAUGGGUACUAGGUGUUGGGAGGAUUGACCCUUUCAGUGCCGACGCUAACGCAUUAAGUACCCCGCCUGGGGAGUACGGCCGCAAGGCUGAAACUCAAAUGAAUUGACGG
rnacentral:rRNA from 1 species